AUUGAACGCUUGCGGCAGGCCUAACACAUGCAAGUCGAGCGAGGGGCGGACGGGUGAGUAAUGUAUGGGGAUCUGCCCGAUUGAGGGGGAUAACUACUGGCAACGGUGGCUAAUACCGCAAAAUCUCGGGUUAAACCAUAAGGGAUUAGCUAGUAGGUGGGGUAAAGGCUCACAUAGGCGACGAUCUCUAGCUGGUCUGAGAGGAUGAUCAGCCACACUGGGACUGAGACACGGCCCAGACUCCUACGGGAGGCAGCAGUGGGGAAUAUUGCACAAUGGGCGCAAGCCUGAUGCAGCCAUGCCGCGUGUAUGAAGAAGGCCUUAGGGUUGUAAAGUACUUUCAGCGGGGAGGCGUUACCCGCAGAAGAAGCACCGGCUAACUCCGUGCCAGCCGCCGCGGUAAUUC
rnacentral:rRNA from 1 species